rfam:Felis catus isolate Cinnamon breed Abyssinian chromosome B2, whole genome shotgun sequence.
GCCUGGGUGGCUCAGUCGGUUGAGCGUCUGACUUCAGCUCAGGUCACGAUCUCACGGUCCGUGAGUUCGAGCCCCGCGUCGGGCU